UGCUGGGCUUGCUGCAGUGUGGGGACAUCCUUCUUCAGAAGGCUCGGCAGGAGCUGAGUGUGAUGGGGCUUGUUUCAGACCUGGCAGAAUACAGCAGUGGUCCCACUUUGAAUGAGGAUGCAGGGAUGCCCUGAAUCCAGCAGCAUCAGACCUCAACUGACAGGAUCAGCCCUGAGCAACAGUGAGACCGGAGACAUGAAGGCAGUUUGCACCAUCCGCGCCCUCAUCAGCUCUGGAGCCGCAGUACCCUCCUUAGAAAACAUGCUCUACAGCAGAAAUCUGUGUCUUAGCAAGAGCCUGGUGCCAGCUGCAUGGGUGUGAACUUACCCUUCUCUCCCUGACAAUGCAUCAUCCAUCUGUGACACAGACCCCAGUUCCAUAGGCUCUUCCUUUCCCUACCUUUGGCUAUCUGAAAUGAGUCAGUGCUACUUGAGUGUUCCCACAGGAAGCUGCAGGAACAGUCUUGUCUAAGAGUGCAGCUGCACUUGAGGAAGGCAGGAUCCGGCCCACGGAGGCUGACAUAUGGUAAGGCAAUAUAUGUUUCCCAUAUGCAGAUCCAAAACGUCUUCCUACAAGGUGCAGUGUUACAUUGAUUGUAUUACUGGAUUAUCAAAUGAUUAAAGCCAUUAACAAUCCACUCUUGAGCAAUCAACGUAACAAUGUUUAGUUGCCUUGCAGUAACAAUUAAAAGAUGAAGCAAUUUGCAAUAAUUAGGUAGUAGCUGGAAAAAGUAGUC